CUAACUGUUCAAGGCAGGAAGAGCAGUGGGUGGGGGCCCCCGAGGGACCUUACCUCUCAGAGUUGAAAUCUAAUGUUCACUUGCACAAAACUAAUCUGAGCGUGCCCUGAUGACUACAGACUCUAGAACCAUCCACGCCUGUCCCAAACACAGUAUGCUUUUAUUUUUACAGCCUUCAAGAACCAAGAUUAUUUGGCUAUUCUGGGUCCCAGGAGGCUGUACUCAGCUGGAAUUCUGAUUGCUUGUUGCCAGUAUACACACACUCUGGCUUCUGAAUAUCACCCUUGUGUCCUGCAAGCUUGAAGAACUCAUUAGUUGUGACUGUUUUCUAGUGGAUUCCUUGAGACUUUUUAUAAUUGAUGGCCCGGCAUCUACAGACAGAGAUAGGUUCACUUCUUGCUUCCCAAGCACUGUGUUAGAGCAAAGCUGGAGGACUUAGACAUCUGAUUUCAACACUUAACUGCAAAGAAAGGACCAUCAAGACACCAUAGUGCUGGGUCAAGGAGAGGGAUACAGAUUAGAGUAGGAGAAGUGAGAAAAAAACCCACUCGUCUAUGGUUUGCUGACCCUUGACAUGAGCACCAAGACUAGGGUAGUGGGGAAGGAGUCAUCUUUGAACAAAUGAUACAGUUGGGUCGUCAUGUGUCAGAGACGAUGCCAAUCCCAGCCUCACACCAUUUACCAAAGAAAACCCAAAGGUAGGAGCUAAAAACACAAAACUCUUGGAAGAAGAGAUGGGAAUAAACCUUCGUGGCCUUGGAUUUGGCAAAGGAUUCUUAGAUAUGAACACAGACAGCUUGAGCAACAAGGAAAGAAAGGCAAACCACGUCUCACGAUAGUGAAGUGGCAUCAAGAAUGGAAGGAAACCUUGCUAAGGAUUUGUAUCUGGAACACACAAAGAACUCACAACUCAAGAGUGGUACACAAUUCUAUUACCAUUGACCAAGGAAUCCAAGUGAACACCACUGCAAUGGAGAUAACCUAGCAGCAUAGUCAAAGAUGCUGAACUGAACCUGCAGCCACUGACAACACAAGUGCCUACUUCUCACCCACUGAGGCUGCCAGCACCAAAAGGCAGAUGCCAGAGCUGGGAGGAUGGCCCAGUGCAAACAGCAAACUACUCAUGCACUACUGGCCAGUGUCGAUGUGGUCAGUCAAACAAUGGAAUACUAUUGAAUCACAAAAAGAAAUGAAGCACUGUCAUGCGCUAAGUUAUGGAUGAAAGACAAUUCAGACUGCCCCAGAGACAUCUUGCUGAGUGUUAGGAGCCAGACACUCUGAGUCAUUCAUACAGAAUACCCAGAAUUGGCAAUACUCUGGCAGAAAAUCAAAAUGGGCUGUGCAGGGCAGGGGAGGGGUGGAGGGGGGAACUGAAAGCCAAACGGUUUAAGGAAAUGUUCUAAAGUUGAUAGGAUUAUCUUGGAAUGCACCGAAAACAAUGAAUUAUAUCUUUAAAUGAGUGGAUUGUGAAUGAUGUCAACAAAGCUGUAAAAAGAAAGAAACGCCCAUAUCAUAUUUUGAAACCCCAAGAUCCUUAAUCUGCAUGGAUUUGAUCUUUAAUGAGGCUGUUUUUUUUUUUCCCAAGGAUUUCACAAAAUGUUUCUUUUAUGACUUUUCAGUCUCGUCUUCUAAGUUAUUCAUAAUUUCCUUAAAGUGUAAGUUCCCUUA